UGGGUCAAGAUGGCCAUAGAGCGUGACA
rnacentral:piRNA from 1 species